rnacentral:rRNA from 1 species
AUCCUGUCUGAAUAUGGGGGGACCAUCCUCCAAGGCUAAAUACUCCUGACUGACCGAUAGUGAACCAGUACCGUGAGGGAAAGGCGAAAAGAACCCCGGGAGGGGAGUGAAAAAGAACCUGAAACCGUGUACGUACAAGCAGUGGGAGCCCCACCACCAAAGCAUUCUCUGGUGUUGAAGGCCCUGCAAAGCAGCAUCGCGGUGGCGGAGCGUCGUUUGCGACGCCCAACACACAAAACAAGCGGUGAAUGCUUUGGGGUGGGGUGACUGCGUACCUUUUGUAUAAUGGGUCAGCGACUUAUAUUCUGUAGCAAGGUUAACCGAAUAGGGGAGCCGGAGGGAAA